UACGGAGGGUGCAAGCGUUGUCCGGAAUCAUUGGGCGUAAAGAGCUCGUAGGCGGCUUGGCAAGUCGGAUGUGAAAACUCCAGGCUCAACCUGGAGCCGCCAUUCGAUACUGCCAUGGCUAGAGUCCGGUAGGGGAGUGUGGAAUUCCCGGUGUAGCGGUGAAAUGCGCAGAUAUCGGGAGGAACACCGAUGGCGAAGGCAGCACUCUGGGCCGGUACUGACGCUGAGGAGCGAAAGCGUGGGGAGCGAACAGG
rnacentral:rRNA from 1 species